UACGUAGGGCGCAAGCGUUAUCCGGAAUUAUUGGGCGUAAAGAGCUCGUAGGCGGUUUGUCGCGUCUGCUGUGAAAACGCGGGGCUCAACUCCGCGCCUGCAGUGGGUACGGGCAGACUAGAGUGCAGUAGGGGAGACUGGAAUUCCUGGUGUAGCGGUGGAAUGCGCAGAUAUCAGGAGGAACACCGGUGGCGAAGGCGGGUCUCUGGGCCACUACUGACGCUGAGAAGCGAAAGCAUGGGGAGCGAACAGG
rnacentral:rRNA from 1 species